CCCGUGGUUUCUGCUUCCCUGAUUUUCUUCUGGAACUGACCAGGUUUGGCUGGGUAGAAUGAGCAGGCAUGUGAUGCCCAGGAACCAAAGCAGGGAACCCAACAGCAGGGAUUCUGCAAAUUCAUAUUGCAUCUAUUAAUAUAGGCAUUUGAGAGAACAUAAUGCAUCUUUCUAUUCAACAUAACCAUGGCAAACUGGAAAAAUGUCAGACAUUCCCAUCUAUUUCUUGCUUCAAACGUCAACUAAAGCAAAGUCCAGAAAAUUUUAGCAGCAAAAAGUGGUAUAAAGAAUGUAUUUUAGCCAAAUGACAAGAAUGUUUCUUAUGCACUUACCCAACAAGAGCACGGCAGACUCCUGCUUGGUCAUAGAAACACCAUUAGCACUGCUAUUCUGCAAAGAGAAGCGUAAAGCUUGAUUUUCAGCAAGACAGCACUGGAGAACAAACC
rnacentral:lncRNA from 1 species